AUUUAUAUAAUAUAAAAAUAUUAUAAUUGACUUCCAAUCAAAAAAUCUAGAUUCUAGUAUAAAUA
rnacentral:tRNA from 1 species